rnacentral:rRNA from 1 species
GACGAACGCUGGCGGCGUGCUUAACACAUGCAAGUCGAACGGAAAGGCCCUGCUUUUGUGGGGUGCUCGAGUGGCGAACGGGUGAGUAACACGUGAGUAACCUGCCCUUGACUUUGGAAUAACUUCAGGAAACUGGGGCUAAUACCGGAUAGGAGCUCCUGCUGCAUGGUGGGGGUUGGAAAGUUUCGGCGGGUGGGGAUGGACUCGCGGCUUAUCAGCUUGUUGGUGGGGUAGUGGCUUACCAAGGCUUUGACGGGUAGCCGGCCUGAGAGGGUGACCGGCCACAUUGGGACUGAGAUACGGCCCAGACUCCUACGGGGGGCAGCAGUGGGGAAUAUUGCACAAUGGGCGGAAGCCUGAUGCAGCAACGCCGCGUGCGGGAUGACGGCCUUCGGGUUGUAAACCGCUUUCGCCUGUGACGAAGCGUGAGUGACGGUAAUGGGUAAAGAAGCACCGGCUAACUACGUG